UCCGGAGAGCUGCUGCAAUUCCGACACCAGUGUGUGUUGGGCUUUUGUGAAACAGAGCAACGGUCAGGUUUUUUGGAGAGGACAGAAAAGUCCAAGGACCAGGACGAUAUUCUGGUUGUGAUAGAUGGCGAGCCAACCACUUUGAGGAGGAUCUACCCCAGAGAAGAUACACAACCACACACUCAUACAUUCCAAUUACACUCACAAGGACCUUUGAAGUUAGCUAUCGCCAGCUUAACUCUAAAUUCUUAAAGGGCCCCAACGAGUACUUUUAUUUUAUUUCAGUGUGCACACUAUUUAUUUUAUUUUAUACUGUAUCUGUACAAAUUGGACAAAUAUCUGUUAUAUCUUGUAACAAUACAAGAGUGGCUACUCAAAAGUU